ensembl:lncRNA
CCAAGGUUGAUGCAGGCCAGCCUUCCGCAACUGGCAGCAGACAGCGCCAGCUGCUUCAAAGGAGGGGACAAGAAGUUUCACAGCUAGUGGCAAUUUGAAAAUUAGCCUUUUGAGAAAUUUCCUCCUGACUUCCACGAGUGGAAAAUUCGUCUAUGCCCGGAGGCAGAAAGAUUGGAUGAGGGGUUGGAACUACAUGAUCUUUAAGGUCCCAUCCAACUAAACAGUUCUAUGAUUCUGUGAUCUGCAACAUAAAACUGUCAAAAAGAGAAGUUCCACAAAAGUGUCAAAAAGAGGACUUCCAUGUUCUGGCUCCAAUGAUAGAAAUGAUCCAGCCCAGCCCUCUUAAGUGCUGCACACAACUUGGGAAGCUCCUAUCAUGACCACAGGAAAGAAAAUGACAAACUGAAGAGGAUCCAGUGGAUGGCCACCAGGAUGAUGGGAGUGCAUUGCUGUGGAGGAAGGCAGGCUUUGAAUUCAGACUGACUGAAUAGUUCAGUGUGAGAACAUUCAUCUGCCUCUGAAAGAGCCAUAAAGUGUGAUGAUGACAGUGAUGGAAACUGAGCUGCAUAACUUGCAAUACCCAAGAACAUUUCCCUGGUGCAGUGUCAGCUAAAACGGAGUUAAAUGACAGGAGUCAGAAUUAGUCGACAAAAUAAGUCUUGUCAAAC